rnacentral:rRNA from 1 species
CCCGCUCAGAAACUCCAAGGAAUUGACGGGGCCCGCACAAGCGGAGGAACAUGUGGUUUAAUUCGAUGAUACGCGAGGAACCUUACCUGGGCUAGAACGCAUUCGGAAUCAGGCCGAAAGGCCUGCGCCAGCGAUGGCCGCUUGCGAGGUGCUGCAUGGUUGUCGUCAGCUCGUGCCGUGAGGUGUCGGGUUAAGUCCCAUAACGAGCGCAACCCCUACUGCUAGUUGCCAGCGGGUCAUGCCGGGGACUCUAGCGGAACUGCCAGCGUAAGCUGCGAGGAAGGUGGGGAUGACGUCAAAUCAGCACGGCCCUUACGUCCAGGGCUACACACGUGUUACAAUGGCCGGUACAGAGGGCAGCCACCCCGCGAGGUGAAGCAAAACGCAGAAAGCCGGUCUCAGUACGGAUUGGAGUCUGAAACUCGACUUCAUGAAGUUGGAAUCGCUAGUAAUCGCGCAUCAGCAUGGCGCGGUGAAUACGUUCCCGGGCCUU